rnacentral:rRNA from 1 species
UACGGGGGGGGCAAGCGUUGUUCGGAAUUACUGGGCGUAAAGGCUCGUAGGCGGCCAACUAAGUCCGACGUGAAAUCCCAAGGCUUAACCUUGGAACUGCGUCGGAUACUGGAUGGCUUGAAUUCGGGAGAGGGAUGCAGAAUUCCAGGUGUAGCGGUGAAAUGCGUAGAUAUCUGGAGGAAUACCGGUGGCGAAGGCGGCAUCCUGGACCGACAUUGACGCUGAUGAGCGAAAGCUAGGGGAGCAAACGGGG